UACGUAGGGUGCGAGCGUUGUCCGGAAUUACUGGGCGUAAAGAGCUCGUAGGUGGUUUGUCGCGUUGUUCGUGAAAUCUCACGGCUUAACUGUGAGCGUGCGGGCGAUACGGGCAGACUAGAGUACUGCAGGGGAGACUGGAAUUCCUGGUGUAGCGGUGGAAUGCGCAGAUAUCAGGAGGAACACCGGUGGCGAAGGCGGGUCUCUGGGCAGUAACUGACGCUGUGGAGCGAAAGCGUGGGGAGCGAACAGG
rnacentral:rRNA from 1 species